rnacentral:lncRNA from 1 species
AGCAUCCCCGAGUUCCUGGUCCAGUGAGAGGCACUGGGUGACUGUACAGUGACAAAGGAACGUGGCAGGACAAGCGAGACCUUCAGUGUCCCGAAAGAUGCGGCAGCUGCAAUGCAGGCAGGCAGGAGGGACCCUCGAGGAAAGUGAGCCCAGUUGGCGAGCCGGUGUUGGGCGCAGUGAGCGUCUCUGCGUGGUCAGCGGGACGUGAGCCGCAGAGCGGGCGGGAUCUGGCCAGGAGGCAGAGCCUCAGCCAGCCGGGAGCAGCCGCUGGCGGGCACCUCCUGCAUCCUGGCGCAGGACUCGGCUCCCUGGGAUUCUGGGCGCGGGCAGCUCUGCUCACCUCACCUGGCAGGCUCUGUCCAGGUACGGCUCUAGGGGUCUCCUCUGCCCUCUGGGAAGUGUUCCCCCUUGCAGGCCACCGGCUGAUCAGGGCCGGCGGGGGCCAGUGGUGAUCUACCCUAUGGAACCUUUGACUUUGUGAGGUGGAAUUCUCCAGGAAUUCUCUCGGUGCCGAGGCUGUGCUUGGAGCCAAGCUCUCUUCCAGGAAAUCCAAGGUGCUGUUUAUUUUGGCAUGCAGCCUGUUCUGGGGUGAAGUAGAGCAUUUUUAUUAUUGCAGAAUAAAGAGGGAUUUGAAGAGAACAGAAAUGCAGAACCAGGUUUCAGUUUCAGGACGAAGGAAGGGAAAGUCUCUCUAUUUGGAUUGAGGUUGGAAAUGUGGUGGAAAGUGGUGAAAUAGCAGGAGUAAGUGGAGCCCGGUGCUGGAGACACAGGGCUGACCUGGGAC